AAUCGGUUGUUGAGGAUUACUCGCCGCCUGAAACACCGCCAGCAGUCCCCUUCCUGCAGCAGGAGGAGGAGGAAGAUGAAGAAGAACAGGAACACACGGAGGAUCAUUUCGUCACGGGGGGAAUCAGACCUUACAUGUUUGAGCCGUUACACGCGGAGGGUUCGAAUGGUCACCUGGACGUGGCAGCUCAGGAGCAAGUUCACACUCGCGAGCAUCUCGAUGUGUCCCAAUGACGCUUUUAUCCAAAGUGACUUACAGUGCACUUAUUACAGGGACAAUCCCCCCCCGGAGCAACCUGGAGUUAAGUGUCUUACUCAAGGACACAACAGUGGCAUCUUGGUGGUGCUGGGGCUUGAACCCCUGACCUUCUGGUUGUUGAUAAAUGUGCAGAAGCAGAAAUGCAAACUGGAUGCAUGACUCAACACCCAGGUUUUGAAGCGGUCAGCUUGAACCCAUGGGUUCUUCAAGUUGAAUAUGCAUCCUUGGUCCAGUAUUAUGGUGACUAUGACCAAGAUGUUUUUACUAUC